rnacentral:rRNA from 1 species
ACGUACACUCCUGCGGUAGGCAGCAGUGGGGAAUUUUGGACAAUGGGCGAAAGCCUGAUCCAGCAAUGCCGCGUGAGUGAAGAAGGCCUUCGGGUUGUAAAGCUCUUUUGUCAGGGAAGAAACGGUGAAAGCUAAUAUCUUUUGCUAAUGACGGUACCUGAAGAAUAAGCACCGGCUAACUACGUGCCAGCAGCCGCGGUAAUACGUAGGGUGCAAGCGUUAAUCGGAAUUACUGGGCGUAAAGCGUGCGCAGGCGGUUUUGUAAGUCUGAUGUGAAAUCCCCGGGCUCAACCUGGGAAUUGCAUUGGAGACUGCAAGGCUAGAAUCUGGCAGAGGGGGGUAGAAUUCCACGUGUAGCAGUGAAAUGCGUAGAUAUGUGGAGGAACACCGAUGGCGAAGGCAGCCCCCUGGGUCAAGAUUGACGCUCAUGCACGAAAGCGUGGGGAGCAAACAGGAUUAGAAACCCCUGUAGUCCCAUGA